UUAAGAUAAUUCAUAUAAAUUCAAGUCAAAGUAAAAAAAAAAAAAUUUUAAAUAGUCCCGCACAGACCUCUAGCCUACCUUCCGGUCCAGAUAUUCAAAGUGUGUGCAGAGUUCUUACAUGAACCGAAAAGGACACCGAGGCAAAAUUUCACUUUCAUUACUCACUAUUGACU